rnacentral:sRNA from 1 species
CAGUUUCAAUUUGCUGCGGACAAAUGAAAUGGAUAUGCGCGUCGAUGCCGCCAGCCGUUAUAAUUUUACCCUCACCUGCAAUAACCUCGGUACUCGCACCUACGAUCAUAUUCGGAUGCACGCCAUCCAUAAUAUCCGGGUUGCCUGCUUUGCCAAUAGCAACAAUAUGACCAUCCCGAAUACCGAUAUCACCUUUGACAAUGCCCCAAUGAUCAAUAAUGACAGCAUUCGUUAUUAAGGUAUCUAGAACACCCUGUGCACGGGUCGCACCGCUAGAUUGUCCCAUGCCGUCACGG